rnacentral:rRNA from 1 species
CUUCCGUAGGUGAACCUGCGGAGGGAUCAUUACUGAGUKUACAACUCCCAAACCCCUGUGAACAUACCUAUGUUGCUUCGGCGGGCCGUCCCGCGGCGCGCCCACGUGGCGUGACCCGGAACCAGGCGCCCGCCGGGGACCCAAACUCUUGCCUUUUUAGCGUCUCCUCUGAGUGGCAUAAGCAAAAAUAAACAAAACUUUCAGCAACGGAUCUCUUGGUUCUGGCAUCGAUGAAGAACGCAGCGAAAUGCGAUAAGUAAUGUGAAUUGCAGAAUUCAGUGAAUCAUCGAAUCUUUGAACGCACAUUGCGCCCGCCAGUAUUCUGGCGGGCAUGCCUGUCUGAGCGUCAUUUCAACCCUCAGCCCCCGUUCGCGGGGCGCUGGCGUUGGGGAUCGGCCGUCCUCGCGGCGGCCGGCCCCGAAACACAGUGGCGGUCUCCUGCAGACUCCCCUGCGUAGUAGCACUACCUCGCAGAAGGGACGAGCGGGCUGGCCACGCCGUAAAACCCCCAACUUCUCCAGGUUGACCUCAGAUCAGGUAGGAAUACCSGYUKAACUUAAGCAUAUCAAUAAGCGGAGGAA